GGCAAGAUGGCCGAGUUGGUUAUGGCGUAGGAUUAAGGUGUUUAAUCCAUGUUUCCUAUGGAGAAAUCCGCGUGGGUUCAAGUCCCACUCUUGUCA
rfam:Magnaporthe oryzae 70-15 chromosome 3, whole genome shotgun sequence.